GGAUGUGAGGGCGAUCUGGCUGUGAAAUCUGUCACCCCAUUGAUCACCAGGGUUGAUUCAGCUGAUCUGGCUCGCUAGGCGGGUGUCCCCUUCCUCCCUCACCACUCCAUGUGUGUCCCUCCCAAAGCUGGGCGCUUGGUCAAAGAGGAUGACCUUCCCUGUAGAGGAGGACCAGUCUUCCGUCAAGGGUAUAUGAGUAGCUGCGCUCCCCUGCUAGAACCUCCAAACAAGCUCUCAAGGAGUCAACCAGAGAAUGGAAGACCUCUCUGUCUCUACCU
rnacentral:snRNA from 1 species